UGCGAGGAAUUUAAGAGAUUACUGAAACUCCAUAGUUGAGAAGGAUGGAUGUAUCAUGUUUUGUAGUAGACUUCUAAAUAGUAAAAAGUGUAAAAUAGAUUGAAGAGUGCAUGUAGGUCUCAACUAUAGUUAAUGAUAGGAAUAUGCAGAUUAUGUGUUACACUUGGAUGUACUUGCCCAUCAUUCACUGAUAUGGUUUUGGUUGAUCUUCCUUUUUUCUCUUUUCCUACUUAUUGUGCCAAUGCUAAUUUGCUGAAUUUGCAAACAUAUUGAAGACUGUCCCUUCCUUCUCUUUUAGCAUUUUGUACUGAUAAAAAGAUGUUGUUUCGGAUUUUAUUAUUUUCUUGCAGAGCUCAGCUGUUUCCAACUGAGUAAUUUGAACAUUAAGGCAGAAGUGUUGGCUUCUUUUUUAGUUAGUUAUUGUAUUUCUCUUUCAAAUGAUAGGAGGCUUGAUUCUAUGAACUUGUGGCUGCAGCUAAGCUAGUCCUCUCCCCCAUCUCCUUCUAAAAGGCUCAGCCUCACUAACAAUUAUAGAAAAUAGUUGUUUUGUAAUAGUUAUUUUAUAACUAUCUAUGAUCACUUUAUUGCUCCAAGUUCUUUUAGUUUUCUUGUACUAUAGAUGCAAAUUCAUGUCAUAAAUCUAUAUAGAUACAAUUCAGAAGCCUUUGCAAGAAGGGAAUGGAUGACGUGUCCCUUUCUUAUGCAAAACUGAUUUUGUUAUGAUUUUUUUUUUUUAAUUUAUGGUGUUAACACGUGGAUUCACAGAAUUCUUUCCCGGUUUUUUUGAUGGAUCUAAUAUGUGUAUUGGUUUGGAUGUGUGGAUGUAAGGACAAGGGUUUAGAGUGUAUGAAGAACGACAUAUAACAUGUGUAUGCUGAUGAAUUGUUUGGGCCAUGAAUAUAACACGUGUAUGUGAGCGGAGUUGUCUUUCCGUCCUCUGUAGCAGCACUUUUUCGGGAAGAAAUCAAAAUGGUGCCUUGAGGUGUCUUCCUCACCUUAACUUGGGUACAGAAUUCAACAAGUAUCACUGCUAGAACUUGACUUUGGAGAAAAAAAUCUGCCAUCAACCUUUCCAAUUUCAACGCGCUUCACUGCCAGAUCUUGACUUUGAAAAAUAGGAAGGGUUGUCAUCUGAAAAUUCAAGUGGCCUUUGACAACGCCCCUGCUUUCAUUGGCGGCGAGUAUGCAUGCGCUGAGAAGGUUUGAAUCGAUAACCCACAUAGUGGACCAUGCGAUGUUUGACUUUUGAACCUGCAGUUGCAGCUCUUGAACCAGUCGGUGGACUUACGAGCUGGCUUUGGCAGUGGUGAUGGUAAAAUGCUACCCAAACGACAUUUUUUCAAUGCUGAAAUCUUCCUCCUCUUUUCUGCAGCGUCCAUUUCUGGGGGAAGGCUUGCCGGAUUUAAUGAAGAUGGAGUUUGAGUAGGCGAAGACGGUGGCUGAAGGGGAGUGCACGAGCAGGCUUUUGGCCACGAAUCGAGCCUGUUUUGCUUUGCCAGCUAUCAAGCAAACAUUAAUUUAUGAAUCCCUGCAUCCGGUGAAUUGCAGGAUGAAUUCAAAAACAGAUAUCUCUCUCUCUCUCUCCCUGUUUCUAUUUCGUUGCCGUUUAUUGUGGUAGUAUCCCUAACGGAAGCGUCCCAGCCUCAGUGAUAACUAUGCCCUGUCCUCACGGAAGUGUUUAACAUUCGAGGGAUAUUCAUGGUGGCCAGUUUGUGGUGUCGAACAUCUGAAAUGAGAUCAGCUGAAUCCCUCUUGACAUGCGGAGUUCAAGAUCCUGGAAUCCAGAAGUCGCUGCUCUGUCUUCUAUGUCAUGGGUCUCAAAAAGAUCGUACAGGUGGAGGAGGUGAUAUCAACAAAGUGUGAGGGCUUGCAGGAAGGGAGGUUGAUUGUGCAGAUAUGGAGGUUUGGGAGCUGGCCAGAUGGGAUGCAAUCAAUGGUAAAUGUUGCACUCGUGACUUUUUUAUAACUUUACUCAUUUGGUUUGAGGCUUUAGUUCUGAAUGGUUGUGAAUUUUGUUUUGCAUGUGGGAGUUAUGUUUGAGGAGCCUGGAUCUGGGGUUAGAGUUGUCAAGCUCACACAUAGUGAUGUGCCUGAAGAAGAGAUGUUAAUGUUUGUUUACUUUGGGUUUGUUUGAUGUAAUUGCAAUGUUUGUUUUGGACAGUUGAAUAACGUAGGUUACUACUUGAUUAUGGAGGUAUGAAAAUUUCAAUGCGGUUGAGAACACUUUCAAAAGAAUAACAGUUUGGCCAUGGCUGCUUGCAGGACUGCUGGAUAACCGAUUUAGCGAAUUUCAGAGUUCAACGUGCUCUCCCCACAGCCUUUUCAAUGAGCAAGAUGUGGCCAACCUUGAUAGUGAAAGGAAAAGGAGGACUAGACAAUAUUCAGCAUGUUCAAUUCUUUUAGAACCUAUAUGAGCCUCAACCAGAACACAUAUACGUUACUUUUUUUUGUGUUAUUUUUUACUAAAUUUAAUAUUCAUCAUCAUUUUAUUAUUUGUUUAAGAUUAGCUUAUAUCACUUCUGACAGCCAUUCUUUUGCUCAUUAUAAAAGAGAUUGCUAUAAAGUAUGUUUUAGAACAUCUAUAAGAGUGCAUUAUAUCUAGAUAGGGUCUGAAAAGGAGAAGAGUUAUUAUUUAAUUAGCUUCUGAUUAAUUCUAUGUUAUGGAAAUGAGGUGGGUAGCUUAAGAUUAUAACUUUGAGUUCUUAUUUUUGUCACUUUUCAUUUUUUAACCCAAUUUGCAAUGUUACAACAGGUUAUCAACGAGUGGGAAGGUUCGAAUCAACUAGAUUAGAGGGCUGUCCAUUUUAUCAUUGUUAAGGUCCAAAAAGAGGGUUAGGGAAGGCAAGUGACAACAACUAAUGGACUGAAACUUCAUAGUGGAAUCGACAUAUAUUACAAGGGUUAGAAAUAGAAAGCAAGAAAUUAUCAACUAUGAAAGAGACUAGCAAAUUAAUUUUAUCUAGCAACUAUUGAAACCUAUUAAUUUGGUGGUGAAUCUUAUCCUUUCAAGUCAUCGUGUUCCCAUGGAACUCUGCUGCUAUUUGUUGCUCACUGUUAGGUCAAGCAGGUUUAUCCAGAUGAAGUUCUCUUAAUUAGAUUUCGAGCUGGCUAAUAGUACCUAUAUCACAUACAUGUACUGCAAGUGCAAAGUACAAAUUGUUCACCCUUAUGUGAUUACUUAUAGAAUAGGACUGAAUCAUUCCUUCAUUCAAUAAUGAAGUUUGUGCAUAGUAAAAAAAGUCCAGAUUUUGAUUGAGAAGAGUAAAGGAAAUCAUAUUGGAUGGGAGAUUUUUACAGAUAAUUAUUUUAUGCAAUUUAGUAGCUGCUUAAUGUUAUUUCACUGAUGUUGACAGGGAUGAGUUAAGAUAAUCUAGAUUUUAUGUUUUGCAGCUAUGAGAUGAUAUGGAUGGUGGUUCCCAAGAAGUGAAAAUGGGAGGAUCUCCUGAGCCAGUUCUCAGAUUGAUCUUGAAGGAAAUCAAGAUCGUGAUGGUGUAGGGUUGCAUUCAAUUCCCAUGGGCCAUGAGCUUGGAAAUGGUGGAGACUGUAAAGAUUCUGCAGAAUCACCCUUUUCAUAAACAAGAUGUUGAAAUGGAAGAUCUAGCGGAUGUUGUCCAUAUUUAUGAUUCUAAAAUUACCCCAGAAAAAAGAAUGUCUGAUGAAUGCAUUCAGUGUAGCUGGAAUUAACAGUCCAAAAUCUGUUUUUUCCUUAUAUUUGUUAGUUGUUCUUUCUUUUUUACCUUU